CUGCAUUGGACAUGGGCGCAGCCUGAUCCAGCCAUGCCGCGUGAGUGAUGAAGGCCUUCGGGUUGUAAAGCUCUUUCAUCCGGAAAGAAAUCGUGCGGACUAAUACGUUGUGCGGCUGACGGUACCGGAACAACAACCACCGGCUAAAUACGUGCCAGCAGCCGCGGUAAUA
rnacentral:rRNA from 1 species